AACGAACGCUGGCGGCGCGCCUAACACAUGCAAGUCGAACGGGUUUUGUGAGGGCAGCAAUGCCUUUAUAAAAUUAGUGGCGAACGGGUGAGUAACACAUAGGUAACCUGCCCUCAGGAUUGGGAUACUCCCGAGAAAUCGGGCACAAUACCAAAUAUGAUUCCGGGGUGAAAUGCCCAGGGAUGAAAGCUUCGGGCAACCGAGGCGCCAGAGGAUGGGCCUGUGGUCUAUCAGCUUGUUGGUGAGGUAAUGGCCUACCAAGGCGACGAUCCAUAGCUGAUCCGAGAGGAUGAUCAGCCACACUGGGACUGAGACACGGCCCAGACUCCUACGGGAGGCAGCAGUGGGGAAUCUUGGACAAUGGGCGAAAGCCUGAUCCAGCCAUGCCGCGUGAUUGAAGAAU
rnacentral:rRNA from 1 species